AGACAGACCCUUAGUCUUUCAUAGAAUUACCUUAAUUUCAAGUUGAUUUAGGACUAGGAAGAAGAAAAAGCCAGUGUUUUAUUCUAAUAUUCCUCUUUUUGUCCACACGUUUUUCUAUAGUUACUACUGUCUGGAAACCCCAAAUCACUUGGGUGAGUGGGGUUCAGAGCUGAAACUCCACUGCAUAUCAGCAGUGAAAAUGGAAAGACUUCUGAAGUAUGAGGCUCAAACUACCCCAAAGACAUUUGGGUGACCUGCAAACCAGGAAUGGCGAGAAAGGCACACUUUUUAUGCACAUCGACGAUGCAUCCUGGAAUUACGCAUGCAAUUAGUGAUGGGACAUGGACCGUUUCAACUCCAGGUUACACAUUCCAAACUUAACUCCACCUGAGCUAAAAAUGGCUGGUGCGCACCACCUCCCUGCCCCGAGGCUGCUGAAGCCGCCAGCCCCUGCACCCCCCCCCCCCACCUCUCCAGCGUUGAGCCCAAGGACUUGCAUCUGAUCAACAACUUUUCCCAACUUCCGCGGGUGUUACGCUCUUUCCCGACCGACGCGUUGUAGGGUACCCUGAUUAAAGACGCAAUCCCCCCCA